rnacentral:rRNA from 1 species
UACAGAGGUCUCAAGCGUUGUUCGGAAUCACUGGGCUUAAAGGGCGCGUAGGCGGGCUGUCAAGUCUGGGGUGAAAUGCCGCGGCUCAACCGUGGAACUGCCUUAGAUACUGACGGCCUCGAGGGAGGUAGGGGCGUGCGGAACUGUAGGUGGAGCGGUGAAAUGCGUUGAUAUCUACAGGAACUCCGGUGGCGAAGGCGGCGAUCUGGACGAUGACUGACGCUGAGACGCGAAAGCGUGGGGAGCAAACAGG